AACAAAGGGUCAAAAGAGGAGCUGCAGCAGUGUGCAGUACAACAAAUAUAUGGUGUUUUCUGAAAAAUUAAACAUAAGCCUAUUCUGGUUCAACCUCGAAGUACAAUUAUGAACCUGAAAAUGAGCACAAUAUGAGCACUUUAAAGGUC